AUUGAACGCUGGCGGCAUGCUUUACACAUUCAAGUCGAACGGUAACAGGGUGCUUGCACCGCUGACGAGUGGCGAACGGGUGAGUAAUGCGUCGGCACGCACCGAGUAAUGGUGGGUAAUGAAGCGCAAGCUGUGCCAAUACCUCAUACGCUCUGAGGAGGAAAGCGGGGGACCUUUGGGCCUCGCGUUAGUCUGGCGGUCGACGUAUGCUUAGCUAGUAGGUGAGGUAAGAGCUCACCUAGGCGACGAUCAGUAGCGGGUCUGAGAGGAUGAUAAGCCACACUGGGACUGGGACACGGCCCAGACUACUACGGGGGGCAGCAGUGGGGAAUCUUGGACAAUGGGCGCAAGCCUGAUCGAGCCAUGCCGCGUGAGUGAAGAAGGUCUUCGGAUUGUAAAGCUCUUUUGCCAGGGACGAUAAUGACGGUACCUGGAGAAUAAGCCCCGGCAAACUUCGUGCCAGCAGCCGCAGUAACAC
rnacentral:rRNA from 1 species